GGAAGCGUGGCCGAGUGGUUGAAGGCACCUGUCUUGAAAACAGGCAACGGGCAACCGUUCGUGAGUUCGAAUCUCACCGCUUCCGCCA
rnacentral:tRNA from 1 species